AAUCAAGAACCAAACUAAAGAUGUUCAGGCUCACAUAAGAUGUUUUUUAUGAGAUUCUGGUAUGUGGUGGUUUGAAAAUGAAUAGUUUAGCUGACCACCUACUUGCCCCAAAGAUUGUCCUGUAUUGCAGUUGGAAUCCAAUCUCCAUGUAACCGAUACUAAUUCACUAAGCUGGGGAAUUGGUUAAGAGUAGACAUGGGAAUUAC